GCCAAUGUGGCUCAGGGGUAGAGCAAUUCACUCGUAAUGAAUAGGUCGGGGGUCCGAUUCCCCCCAUUGGCUCCA
rnacentral:tRNA from 1 species